GACUAGACAUGUUAAAAACAUACACGUUCCAGGAUCUACCCAGCACAGCUGAAAAAUAUGACCUGGAAGAAAUCCUGAGAUGCAGGAAGUUGGAAUUUGUCCACCUGAUCUUUGCAGUCUCAUCUCCCUGUGAGAGUUAAGGCUCUCGCUUGCAUUCCAAAAGCCUUGCCAACUGGCCUGGAAACCAAAGUGUGUGGGAGACCCCUGAAAGAAGAUACCUGUUACCAAGUACAUGCCUCAGCUACUGCUGACACCUGGAAAACACCACAAAAACUAAAGCAAGUGUGUGAAUCCAGCUCCAACUGCCAGACACAUAAGGGAUACCAUCAAGGACCAGUCCCAGCCAAACAGGAAGACUUCUGCCUCGUAAGUACCCCCGAGAGAGACACUCAAAGACGUGUCUAUUGAACCCAUUGCAACCGCUGACCCCCAGGAUCCUUAGCAAAUAAAACAUAUGUU
ensembl:lncRNA